rnacentral:ncRNA from 12 species
AAUGCCGGAGGUGGGAAACUGCGUUGCACCCACGCACCCUAUGGGUUAAAAGAGAUGUAGUAGAUAGCGACGGAUACCCGGCAUA